rnacentral:rRNA from 1 species
AGGCCUGCAUUCGAUACGGGCAGACUAGAGUGUGGUAGGGGAGACUGGAAUUCCUGGUGUAGCGGUGAAAUGCGCAGAUAUCAGGAGGAACACCAAUGGCGAAGGCAGGUCUCUGGGCCAAUACUGACACUGAGGAGCGAAAGCGUGGGGAGCGAACAGGAUUAGAUACCCUGGUAGUCCACGCCGUAAACGGUGGGCGCUAGUUGUGGGAACCUUCCACGGUUUCUGCGACGCAGCUAACGCAUUAAGCGCCCCGCCUGGGGAGUACGAUCGCAAGAUUAAAACUCAAAGGAAUUGACGGGGCCCCGCACAAGCAGCGGAGCAUGCGGCUUAAUUCGAUGCAACGCGAAAAACCUUACCUACCCUUGACAUGUCAAGAAUCCUAAAGAGAUUUGGGAGUGCUCGAAAGAGAACUUGAACACAGGUGCUGCAUGGCCGUCGUCAGCUCGUGUCGUGAGAUGUUGGGUUAAGUCCCGCAACGAGCGCAACCCUUAUCAUUAGUUGCUACGCAAGGGCACUCUAAUGAGACUGCCGGUGACAAACCGGAGGAAGGUGGGGAUGACGUCAGGUCAUCAUGGCCCUUAUGGGUAGGGCUACACACGUCAUACAAUGGCCGGUACAGAGGGUUGCCAACCCGCGAGGGGGAGCUAAUCUCAGAAAACCGGUCGUAGUCCGGAUCGCAGUCUGCAACUCGACUG